CUGGGCGUAAAGGGUCUGUAGGUGGUUUGUUAAGUCAGAUGUGAAAGCCCAGGGCUCAACCUUGGAACUGCAUUUGAUACUGGCAAACUAGAGUAUGGUAGAGGAAUGGGGAAUUUCUGGUGUAGCGGUGAAAUGCGUAGAGAUCAGAAGGAACACCAAUGGCGAAGGCAACAUUCUGGACCAAUACUGACACUGAGGGACGAAAGCGUGGGGAUCAAACAGGAUUAGAUACCCUGGUAGUCCACGCUGUAAACGAUGAGUACUAGCUGUUGGAUUCGGUGUAAAGGAUCUAGUGGCGUAGCUAACGCGUUAAGUACUCCGCCUGGGGACUACGGCCGCAAGGCUAAAACUCAAAGGAAUUGACGGGGACCCGCACAAGCGGUGGAGCAUGUGGUUUAAUUCGAUGCAACGCGAAGAACCUUACCUGGUCUUGACAUCCUGCGAACUUUCUAGAGAUAGAUUGGUGCCUUCGGGAACGCAGUGACAGGUGCUGCACGGCUGUCGUCAGCUCGUGUUGUGAAAUGUUGGGUUAAGUCCCGCAACGAGCGCAACCCCUAUUGAUAGUUACCAUCAUUAAGUUGGGUACUCUAUUGAGACUGCCGCUGACAAGGCGGAGGAAGGUGGGGACGACGUCAAGUCAUCAUGGCCCUUACGACCAGGGCUACACACGUGCUACAAUGGGUAUUACAGAGGGCAGCGAAGUAGCGAUAUGGAGCGAAACUCAGAAAGGUACUCUUAGUCCGGAUUGCAGUCUGCAACUCGACUGCAUGAAGUCGGAAUCGCUAGUAAUCGCAGGUCAGAAUACUGCGGUGAAUACGUUCCCGGGUCUUGUACACACCGCCUGUCACACCAUGGGAGUGGGUUGCUCCAGAAGUAGAUAGCUUAACGAAUGGGCGUU
rnacentral:rRNA from 1 species